rnacentral:rRNA from 1 species
UACGUAGGGAGCAAGCGUUGUCCGGAAUCAUUGGGCGUAAAGCGCGCGUAGGCGGCCCUGUAAGUCCGCUGUGAAAGUCAAAGGCUCAACCUUUGAAUGCCGGUGGAUACUGCAGGGCUAGAGUCCGGAAGAGGCAAGUGGAAUUCCUGGUGUAGCGGUGGAAUGCGCAGAUAUCAGGAGGAACACCAAUGGCGAAGGCAGCUCGCUGGGACGUGACUGACGCUGAGACGCGAAAGCGUGGGGAGCAAACAGG